rnacentral:rRNA from 1 species
AGUGAACGCUGGCGGUAGGCCUAACACAUGCGAGUCGAACGGCAGCACAGUAAGAGCUUGCUCUUACGGGUGGCGAGUGGCGGACGGGUGAGGAGUACAUCGGAAUCUACUUUUUCGUGGGGGAUAACGUAGGGAAACUUACGCUAAUACCGCAUACGACCUACGGGUGAAAGCAGGGGAUCUUCGGACCUUGCGCGAUUGAAUGAGCCGAUGUCGGAUUAGCUAGUUGGCGGGGUAAAGGCCCACCAAGGCGACGAUCCGUAGCUGGUCUGAGAGGAUGAUCAGCCACACUGGAACUGAGACACGGUCCAGACUCCUACGGGAGGCAGCAGUGGGGAAUAUUGGACAAUGGGCGCAAGCCUGAUCCAGCCAUACCGCGUGGGUGAAGAAGGCCUUCGGGUUGUAAAGCCCUUUUGUUGGGAAAGAAAAGCAGCAGGUUAAUACCCCGCUGUUCUGACGGUACCCAAGGAAUAAGCACCGGCUAACUUCGUG